rnacentral:rRNA from 1 species
GUCCACGCCCUAAACGAUGGCAACUAGUUGUUGGAGGAUGAACUCCUUUAGUAACGCAGCUAACGCGUGAAGUUGCCCGCCUGGGGAGUACGGUCGCAAGAUUAAAACUCAAAGGAAUUGACGGGGGCCCGCACAAGCGGUGGAUGAUGUGGUUCAAUUCGAUGCAACGCGAAAAACCUUACCUACCCUUGACAUGCCAGGAAGCCUGAUGAAAGUCGGGUGUGCCCGAAAGGGAACCUGGACACAGGUGCUGCAUGGCUGUCGU